GGACCAAGGAGUCUAGCAUGUGCGCGAGUCAUUGGGAUGAUGACUAAACCUAAAGGCGCAAUGAAAGUGAAGGUUCGCCUUGCGCGGACCGAGGGAGGAUGGGCGGUCGCGAGUGGCCGCCCCGCACUCCCGGGGCGUCUCGUUCUCAUCGCGAGAAGAGGCGCACCCAGAGCGUACACGCUGGGACCCGAAAGAUGGUGAACUAUGCCUGGUCAGGACGAAGUCAGGGGAAACCCUGAUGGAGGUCCGUAGCGAUUCUGACGUGCAAAUCGAUCGUCGGAACUGGGUAUAGGGGCGAAAGACUAAUCGAACCAUCUAGUAGCUGGUUCCCUCCGAAGUUUCCCUCAGGAUAGCUGGCGCUCGCUUCUGGCGAGUCUCAUUCGGUAAAGCGAAUGAUUAGAGGCAUUGGGGUCGAAACGGCCUCAACCUAUUCUCAAACUUUAAAUGGGUGAGAUCUCCGGCUUGCUUGAACUGUGAAGCCGCGAGAUAUCGGAUCAGAGUGCCAAGUGGGCCACUUUUGGUAAGCAGAACUGGCGCUGUGGGAUGAACCAAACGCCGAGUUAAAGCGCCUAAAUCGACGCUUAUGGGAUACCAUGAAAGGCGUUGGUAACUUAAGACAGCAGGACGGUGGCCAUGGAAGUCGGAA
rnacentral:rRNA from 1 species